AACGGUCUAUACCUGCGGUACCUGCGGAGGGAUCAUUACAGAGUUAGGGUCUGUUAUAGGCCUGAACCUCCAACCCCCUUGGUGUCUACUACCCUGUUGCUUCGGCAGAACUAAUGUGCCUGCCGAAGCCUUACAUAUAACAGUCUAGUUAAGAAUUCUUGGUCUGAUCCUACUGAAAAACAUAGAAUUGUUAAAACUUUCAACAAUGGAUCUCU
rnacentral:misc_RNA from 1 species